AUACUGCCCUUUGCUGUGUGCCAUUGAGCAAAGGGAAGAGCCAGAUUAAACGUUUGGCACUUGACAUCAAAGUUAUGAAAAUGGAAUCAUCCCUUUUAUUAGAAAUCUCUCAAUUUUCUGUCCACAGUGCAUUUCCGAAUCUUCAGUGUGGGUUUAGACAACUUCUUAAUGGAAAUAAAAAGCAACUGGACAUUUCAUUCAUUGCUCAUGCAGAAAGAUAAUGUGAAAUAAUUUAGUAAAGGGACAAAGUCUGCCACAGGGACAAGGCUGUGGUUGGAGAAAUUAGUCCUGAGGGAUUGGUGGUUCUGUUUCCAGGAUGAUCAGCUGCUUUGCCCGUUUCUGGAUCAUGGGGCUCUGUGCUAUUUUGCUGAUCUUAGCCAGAAGGCUUCCAAUUAGCAAAUGCAGAGGUAGAUCCCUGUUUGCAUUGAGGCUGGUGGUUGAGAAGCUGUGUCUCUCUCCCGGCAGUGCUUGUGGAGUGGGUUUAUGCCAGGAGCCCUGAAGUGGUCCAGCACGACGCCCUGCCCGUGCUCUGGUCCUUCCUGGAGAACAAGGCACUGCCGGUGCGAAGCGCCAAUGUCCGCACUGUGGCCACCAAGCUUGCCUCUGCCCUCCACAAGGUGAUGGGCACCAAGCUGAAGAGAUGUGCUGCCAGCCAGCCUCCACAUGUGCGGGAAAACCUCUCCAAAAUGUUGGGCUGGUGAAGGCAUGAUGUUCUCCAGAGAGAUGACAUCGUGCUGAGUUGGACACCUCCAGAUCUGCCUUGUUAGCUGUGCCAAAAGAGACCAAAUGCUAAGGAAGGGUGUGCACCUGCCCCCUCUCUCUCCAUCGCCCUUCCUAGUCAUGGCAUGGGGGGCCUGAAGCAACUCCAGACUGAGGACAAGGUGAAGGCUGAUCAUGGCUCAGCCUCACACAGAGAUCGGACUGGUUACAGUCUUACCGAGAAGGUUCCUCUGGACAAUUCCCAUGGUGCCUUACCCACAAAGUCCUUGCCUGCUGUACAGAAGAGCUCUCUUUUCUCCAAGUUCAGGAAGAAGCUGCUGCCUGUAUGAAGAUUGUUUGAAGAAUAGGAUUUAUAUGUUAGGUUUUGUAGUAGAUGUACAUAUGUUCUGAUCCUUAGAUGUAGUUUUGAAUAAAUGUGUUUUGAUUGUACCUUUAAA